rnacentral:rRNA from 1 species
GAGCAAGGCCGCGUGAACGAUGAAGUAUUUCGGUAUGUAAAGUUCUUUUAUUGAAGAAGAAAAAAUAGUGGAAAAACUAUCUUGACGCUAUUCAAUGAAUAAGCCCCGGCAAACUAUGUGCCAGCAGCCGCGGUAAUACAUAGGGGGCGAGCGUUAUCCGGAAUUAUUGGGCGUAAAGGGUGCGUAGGCGGUUUAAUAAGUCUAUAGUUUAAUUUCAGUGCUUAACACUGUCCUGCUAUAGAAACUAUUAAACUAGAGUGAGAUAGAGGCAAGUGGAAUUCCAUGUGUAGCGGUAAAAUGCGUAAAUAUAUGGAGGAACACCAGAGGCGUAGGCGGCUUGCUGGGUCUUUACUGACGCUGAGGCACGAAAGCGUGGGGAGCAAACAGGAUUAGAUACCCUGGUAGUCCACGCCGUAAACGAUGAGUACUAAGUGUCGGGGUUACUCGGUACUGAAGUUAACACAUUAAGUACUCCGCCUGAGUAGUACGUACGCAAGUAUGAAACUUAAAGGAAUUGACGGGACUCCGCACAAGCGGUGGAUCAUGUUGUUUAAUUCGAAGAUACACGAAAAACCUUACCAGGUCUUGACAUACUCUGCAAAGCUAUAGCAAUAUAGUGGAGGUUAUCAGGGAUACAGGUGGUGCAUGGUUGUCGUCAGCUCGUGUCGUGAGAUGUUAGGUUAAGUCCUAAAACGAGCGCAACCCUUGUCACUAGUUGCCAGCAUGUUAUGAUGGGCACUUUAACGAGACUGCCAAUGAAAAA